GACGAACGCUGGCGGCGUGCUUAACACAUGCAAGUCGAACGAAGUGGCGAACGGGUGAGUAACGCGUAAUCAACCUGCCCUUCAGCGGGGGACAACCGUUGGAAACGCCUGCUAAUACCGCAUCCUGACGGCUGUGAUUGCGUCUGAUUAGCUAGUUGGAGGGGUAACGGCCCACCAAGGCGAUGAUCAGUAGCCGGUCUGAGAGGAUGAACGGCCACAGUGGGACUGAGACACGGCCCAGACUCCUACGGGAGGCAGCAGUGGGGAAUCUUCCGCAAUGGACGAAAGUCUGACGGAGCAACGCAGCGGGAGUGAUGACGGCCUUCGGGUUGUAAAGCUCUGUUAAUCGGGACGCGGUACCGGAAUAGAAAGCCACGGCUAACUACGUGCCAGCAGCCGCGGUAAUUC
rnacentral:rRNA from 1 species